AUGUGGAGUUUCAGGGCCAGAAAAGCAGAUGGAGGAGGCAAAAGAAUGGUUUACCCCAAGGCAGCGUUCCCCAAGGCAGCGUUCUUGCACCAACCUUAUUUAAUAUCUUCACAAACGAUCAGCCACAACCACCACUCACAAAGAGCUUUAUAUAUGCUGAUGACCUUGGCCUUACAACACAACAGGAAACUGAAAGUUACUUGGGAAGGCCAAGAGCUCGAACACUGUUUCCAUCCUAAAUACCUUGGUGUCACCUUAGACCGAACACUAACAUAUAGGAAACACUGCAUGAACACCAAGCACAAAGUAGCUGCACGCAAUAACAUCCUGCAGAAACUGAAUGGCAGCGCAUGGGGAGCAGACCCACAAGUAAUAAGAACAUCAGCCCUGGCCUUGUCUUUCUCAACUGCAGAGUAUGCCUGUCCUGUUUGGCACAAGUCUGCCCAUGCAAAGCAGGUGGACAUAGCACUGAAUAAAACAUGCAGAAUCAUCACGGGAUGCCUUAAACCUACACCUGUUGAUAAAAUCUACAAGUUAGCUGGCAUUGCCCCUCCUGACGUGCGACGGGAAGUUGCUGCUAACGGUGAGAGAAAAAAGGUCGAACAUUGUGAAAGCCACCCACUGCAUGGCUAUCACCCUCCUCCCACCAGACUCAAAUCAAGGAAGGGCUUCAUGAGAAUCACCACUGCUCUUGAUGUUCCUCCAGCAGCAGCAAGGGUGUCCCUCUGGGCAGCUAAACCUGGCAAUUCUAACUGGAUGGCCCCCCAAGAGGGUCUUCCUCCAGGGGCAAACCAAGAAUGGGCAACUUGGAAGUCCCUGAACAGACUCAGAAGUGGAGUGGGCAGAUCUAAAGACAACUUGGCAAGGUGGCACUACCUGGAGGAAUCCUCCACCUUGUGUGACUGUGGAGCUGAACAAACAACUCAGCACAUGUAUGCUUGCCCACAAUGCCCUGCCUCAUGUACGGAGGAGGAGUUGUUUAAAGCUACAGACAAUGCGGUUGCUGUUGCCUGCUUUUGGUCCAAAACUAUUUAG
rnacentral:lncRNA from 1 species